rnacentral:rRNA from 1 species
CGGCAGCAUAGGAGCUUGCUCCUGAUGGCGAGUGGCGAACGGGUGAGUAAUAUAUCGGAACGUGCCCUAGAGUGGGGGAUAACUAGUCGAAAGACUAGCUAAUACCGCAUACGAUCUACGGAUGAAAGUGGGGGAUCGCAAGACCUCAUGCUCCUGGAGCGGCCGAUAUCUGAUUAGCUAGUUGGUGGGGUAAAAGCCUACCAAGGCAACGAUCAGUAGCUGGUCUGAGAGGACGACCAGCCACACUGGGACUGAGACACGGCCCAGACUCCUACGGGAGGCAGCAGUGGGGAAUUUUGGACAAUGGGGGCAACCCUGAUCCAGCAAUGCCGCGUGAGUGAAGAAGGCCUUCGGGUUGUAAAGCUCUUUUGUCAGGGAAGAAACGGUAGUAGCGAAUAACUAUUACUAAUGACGGUACCUGAAGAAUAAGCACCGGCUAACUACGUGCCAGCAGCCGCGGUAAUACGUAGGGUGCAAGCGUUAAUCGGAAUUACUGGGCGUAAAGCGUGCGCAGGCGGUUGUGUAAGUCAGAUGUGAAAUCCCCGGGCUCAACCUGGGAAUUGCAUUUGAGACUGCACGGCUAGAGUGUGUC